rnacentral:lncRNA from 1 species
GAUAGAGCCUUGGGCUCGUGCAUCAGGAGGAUGUAGUCACACUCAUAGUUGCAAUCCUCCAGGACCAGAGGAUGCUUCUCACUCACACACAUGCUUCCACACUCACACUCAUCUCAUCAUCCCUGUAUAAUAUAUAACUUACUUUCUAUUUUAUUUUUAUACAAGUAUAUAUGGUCUGAUGAAAUUUGAAAGGAUUGUUUAUAGAUUAUAGGACUAUUCAUUUUGUAACAGGAUUCGCAAGAGAAUGACCAUUCUGACAGCAGCAACAAGAGGCGGCCAUGUGGGAACAGAGAGGCAGUGAGAAAGUACAGGGAGAAGAAGAAGGCUCGCACGGCAUACCUUGAAGACGAAGUCAAGAGACUGCAAUCUAUGAAUGAAUUCUUGCUUAGAAAGCUUCAGAGUCAAGCAAUUGUGGAAGCUGAAAUCAUCAGACUCCGG